UCAAAUUGGAAUUCUUUCGGAAAUUUGUUUGAGUGUGAUUUUUUGCUUGAUGACAUUAAGCCUCAAGUGAAAUAAAUCUAAUAGAAAAUAAUAUUUCAAAAUCAAAUAUAAAUGUACAAACGUAAUAUUGUGAAUGUAUUCAAAAUCAAACCAAUACACAGCUAUUUUCGCUCAAUACAACUGAACCGAAUAAUGUCGACAAAUACAAGCGGCGGUCCCAUCGAACAGGCUAUCACAGAGGCAAUAACAACAAAACUUGAGCCAAUCCAUUUGGAAAUUGUGAACGAAUCGUAUAUGCAUAAUGUUCCAAAUGGUGCCGAAACCCACUUCAAAGUGUUGGUGGUGUCGAAAAAAUUCGAAUCACUACCACUGAUAAAGAGACAUCGGCUGGUGAAUGAAAUAGUUAAGGAAAAAUUGGAUGGAGAUUUCGUGCAUGCAUUGUCAAUUGAAACGAAAAGCCCGGCUCAAUGGAAUGAAAACUACAAAAUGGAUCCGAGUCCGAAUUGUAAAGGUGGCUUUGGCAAAUAAUAAAAAAAGUACAAUGAAAAUGGACAAAAUUGCAACGGAAAUUCGCCUUUCGCAACAGAUCGAGAAAGUGAUAUGCCGUAAAACAAAAUACAAACACAGCAACAAUUGUUUUAUCCUCUUUUUUCUAUAGACAUAUUUAGAGAUAAUCUUGAUGUAAACGAAUUAGAAACUAGAACUCAUUUGAAACGUUAAUUGUACGCAACAUAAUCAAAUAGAUGAAUGCAAAAAAACUAGUUAUGACUAGAAUUAAUCUAGUACGAAAAAGUAAUUGACAGUUCUCAGUUUCAUUUCUCUAUGAAAAAUAGUAGAUGUCGUCAAUAUCCAGAAGAAAAAGAUGCUAAUAGCAACAAGUUAUAUAUCAACUAAUCGAAUGUGUUUUGUUCGAAACAAAUAUAAACUAUUCCAUUUUUUAUUUAAUUCAAAGUUUAUUUCAAAGCAUUUGGUGUUUUUAAAAUGGAUGGACAAAAUUCCAACCAACAAUACUCGUUCCCAGGCACGGCACAACAACAAAUCGUUGGUCAACAGUAUAUACAACCGCAUGCGAUGGCCCCACCAUCAACAUCCAGUCUUGUUACCUCUGCAGAUGAAAGGCGCCGAUCCCAUGGUGAUUCAUCGAAUUCGGAUUCCGAUGCGAUAAGAACAACUCCAACAACGGGUAAUGAACGAUACAAAAAAUCACCACUUUCUAAAUCAAUGGACCAAUUCAAACAUGCCAUUCACAAACUUGAAGCGGACAUUGAAAAUUAUGUUCGAGAUAAAGAGAAAGAUAACAAUAUGGCGAAGUUACAGAAAACACGUACAUUCAUCGAAGGAACACUCAAACAAAUACACAGAAUUCACACUACAGUCUAUGAAGCAAUUGAGGAACCGAAACCGAUGGAGCCAAUUGAUUCUUUGAAGGAAUAUUUGGUUCGAAAUGGCCGGCAACACAUUGUGACGGCGUUUGAACAACAACAACAACAACAACGAAUUUAAAGUCCAAUCCACCAAAAAUAAUUAACCCAUCGAGUGCUCUAAGUUCAGUUUUUUUAAUUAUCGCCUUAUCAAGCCCUUCAAAAAAUAUCGAAUAAAGCCAAUCUCACCAUAA